UACGUAGGGGCCUAGCGUUGUCCGGAUUUAUUGGGCGUAAAGAGCGUGUAGGCGGCCAGGUAGGUCGGUUGUGAAAACUGGAGGCUCAACCUUCAGACGUCGACCGAAACCCCCUGGCUAGAGUCCGGAAGAGGAGAGUGGAAUUCCUGGUGUAGCGGUGAAAUGCGCAGAUAUCAGGAAGAACACCCGUGGCGAAGGCGGCUCUCUGGGACGGUACUGACGCUGAGACGCGAAAGCGUGGGGAGCGAACAGG
rnacentral:rRNA from 1 species